AACGAACGCUGGCGGCAGGCUUAACACAUGCAAGUCGAACGCAUCCUUCGGGGUGAGUGGCAGACGGGUGAGUAACGCGUGGGAACGUGCCCUUCAGUUCGGAAUAACCCAGGGAAACUUGGGCUAAUACCGGAUACGUGCGAGAGCAGAAAGAUUUAUCGCUGAAGGAUCGGCCCGCGUCUGAUUAGCUAGUUGGUAGGGUAAUGGCCUACCAAGGCGACGAUCAGUAGCUGGUCUGAGAGGAUGAUCAGCCACAUUGGGACUGAGACACGGCCCAAACUCCUACGGGAGGCAGCAGUGGGGAAUAUUGGACAAUGGGCGCAAGCCUGAUCCAGCCAUGCCGCGUGAGUGAUGAAGGCCUUAGGGUUGUAAAGCUCUUUCGUCCGGGACGAUAAUGACGGUACCGGAAGAAGAAGCCCCGGCUAACUUCGUGCCAGCAGCCGCGGUAACAC
rnacentral:rRNA from 1 species